GGGGAGAUUCCAGAGCGGUCAAAUGGGGCAGACUGUAAAUCUGCUGCUUCGGCUUCGUAGGUUCGAAUCCUGCUCUCCCCA
rnacentral:tRNA from 1 species